rnacentral:rRNA from 1 species
UACGAAGGGGGCUAGCGUUGCUCGGAAUCACUGGGCGUAAAGCGUGCGCAGGCGGUGAUGUAAGACAGAUGUGAAAUCCCCGGGCUCAACCUGGGAAUUGCAUUUGUGACUGCACGGCUAGAGUGUGUCAGAGGGGGGUAGAAUUCCACGUGUAGCAGUGAAAUGCGUAGAGAUGUGGAGGAAUACCGAUGGCGAAGGCAGCCCCCUGGGAUAACACUGACGCUCAUGCACGAAAGCGUGGGGAGCAAACAGG